UACGUAGGGGGCGAGCGUUGUCCGGAAUGACUGGGCGUAAAGGGCGUGUAGGCGGCCGAUUAAGUCCGGAGUGAAAGUCCUGCUUUCAAGGUGGGAAUUGCUUUGGAAACUGGUUGGCUUGAGUGCGGAAGAGGUAAGUGGAAUUCCCAGUGUAGCGGUGAAAUGCGUAGAGAUUGGGAGGAACACCAGUGGCGAAGGCGACUUACUGGGCCGUAACUGACGCUGAGGCGCGAAAGCGUGGGGAGCGAACAGGAUUAGAUACCCUGGUAGUCCACGCGGUAAACGAUGAAUGCUAGGUGUAGGGGGUAUCGACCCCUCCUGUGCCGGAGUAAACACAAUAAGCAUUCCGCCUGGGGAGUACGGCCGCAAGGUUGAA
rnacentral:rRNA from 1 species